AGCAGCCGCGGUAAUUCCAGCUCCAAUAGCGUAUAUUAAAGUUGUUGCAGUUAAAAAGCUCGUAGUUGAAUUUCGGGGUUAGCAGGUCGGUCGUGCCGUCGGUAUGAACUGGUCUCGCUGAUCCCUCCCUCUUGACGAACUGUGAUGCCAUUAAUUUGGUGUCGCAGGGAAUCAGGACUGUUACUUUGAAAAAAUUAGAGUGUCUAAAGCAGGCUCACGCUUGAAUACAUUAGCAUGGAAUAAUGAAAUAGGACGUUUGAUCCUAUUUUGUUGGCUUCUAGGAUUGACGUAAUGAUUAAUAGGGAUAGUUGGGGGCAUUAGUAUUCAAUUGUCAGAGGUGAAAUUCUUGGAUUUAUUGAAGACUAACUACUGCGAAAGCAUUUGCCAAGGAUGUUUUCAUUAAUCAAGAACGAAAGUUAGGGGAUCGAAGACGAUCAGAUACCGUCGUAG
rnacentral:rRNA from 1 species